AAAAGAAGAUCAAGAAGAGCUUCAGAAUGAAGCUUUCUUGAUGGAGGGGAGCGGCAGACGGGUGAGUAACACGUGGGAAUCUACCCAUCCCUGCGGAACAACUCCGGGAAACUGGAGCUAAUACCGCAUACGCCCUUCGGGGGAAAGAUUUAUCGGGGAUGGAUGAGCCCGCGUCGGAUUAGCUAGUUGGUGGGGUAAAGGCCUACCAAGGCGACGAUCCAUAGCUGGUCUGAGAGGAUGAUCAGCCACAUUGGGACUGAGACACGGCCCAAACUCCUACGGGAGGCAGCAGUGGGGAAUAUUGGACAAUGGGCGCAAGCCUGAUCCAGCCAUGCCGCGUGAGUGAUGAAGGCCUUAGGGUUGUAAAGCUCUUUCACCGAUGAAGAUAAUGACGGUAGUCGGAGAAGAAGCCCCGGCUAACUUCGUGCCAGCCGCCGCGGUAAGAC
rnacentral:rRNA from 1 species